GGAGAGGUGGCUCAGUGGUAGAGCGCUUGCUUUGCAUGCAUAAGGCCCUGGGUUCAAUUCCCCAACACCA
rnacentral:tRNA from 1 species